AAGCUAAUUGGGAUUUAUAUAGCUAUACAGUCAAUUACAAAAUAAGAAUAUAUACCUAAACAGGAAUAUACAGAUUCUAUGCUAUUUUACAGAUCCUAAUAAUAUCACAUAAUUAUAGCAGACUAAUUAGGCAAGAAUAAGGGCAAGAAUCUCAACACUCUCUCUCAAACUGGAGAGUACAUGUCAUAUGCCCCAAGCUUGUUAUAAAUGUAUUCAAUUUGAGGACCUCUAAGGAAUUUAGUAAGUAUGUCUACUAGCUGGUCAUUUGAAUUGGCAAAGUUGGUAGCAAUACAUCCUAACUCAAUCUUCUGCCUAAUGAAGUGGCAAUCCACCUCUAUAUGU
rnacentral:misc_RNA from 1 species